CUCUCCCACCGGUGCCUCUCCUCUCGCCAGCCCUAGAUGUGCCGCUGCCGCCGUCACAGCCGCCGUCAUUCUCCUCUGAUCUGUCAUGUUCGUAGCUUCUCUGGGCGCAUCAUCUCCAUUCAUCCCCGCAAUUCUCCCUUCCAGACCGCCCUCUAGCGACCUAGAGCGAACGCCAAGUGCGCCCGGCGGCCACCUCCAACGCUCACCCCAGUGACUCUUCUCUGUGCCUCUCGAGGAUAUGAGAUAAUCUCUUCUGCUACGUUUGGUAAAGACGGAUUUGUUCUGAUGGGAGUGCGACUCAUCGGCGUGUAUGGUGUCUCGCCCGCGGGCGCGGCUACACGUCGAAGCCCUCGGAGGUCCCUGCUGCCACCGUCUUGCCUCCCGCUUGAGAGUUUGAACUGCACAUGCUUUGAUGGGCGUAUUGUACGCCACCGUCCUGCACCCCCGGCAAACCUGGCCGUGGUUUUGCUGCUGAAGAGAGCACCCCAACCAAGAGUUAAACCACUUUACUGAGGAAGAUGAUUUUAUACAGAAUCAUGGAAAACAUUUCUGAGAGACUUUCAUGAAGAAACCCAUGGAUGGCAUGGGGUAGAAGAAGCAAACAAAUGUUGGACUCCAUCUAGAACCUCAAUGAGCCGUACGACCGCGGUGCAGACCGGCCCUUGUAAGCUCCAGAUCACCCGCAAGACUGUUGCGAAUUUGGGCAGAAAUACUAGCUCUUAGUACUUGAAUACUUGUCGGUCCAUCACACAGGUAUGUGCUGGGAUUGGGGAAUAAUUACAUGUGACGCCUAUAGAGUGACAUAUAUCAAUUGCCUUUGAUGUUCGUGGUGUUAUUGGUUCUGGUUGGUUUGAAAAGAUACACAUGAAUGGGGUGUUUUAAUGCAGCGUCUCCUGCUCCAAGUUUGUGACAAAACCCCAGAAGCAUGUUGAGGGCAUAUUACAAUCAAAAUAACAAGAAAUCCGCCAAACAUUGUGUGAUCAACUUCUUCUUUUGGUUUUGGGGAUUGCAUCUUGCUUGGCCUCCGGGUAUUUCAGCCCCAACAAUGAUAUUUAGUUUAUUGUGGAAUAACUACCUGUUUGGAUGGAAUUUAUUUUAACAUAAUUUUACUGCUAAAAUGUAACACAACAAUAAUGAUGGAAAUCCAUGUUAUGUUCUUCUAAUAGAGUAAGAUUCUGGCUUUUUCCUAAAAAAAUGGGUUAAAUAGUUAUACUUAAAUAAAGAUACAGGCAGGUGUGCAAGUAUAUGAUAACUUGCUCUCCAGUGAGUUGCAAAGCGAUGUGAUUGGAAUUGUAUAUACACGUGCUUGAUCAAUCACAAAUUAUACCAUCUAAAGUUCAGCGCAAAUUGGUACUAAACUUAAGAGAAUCGCUUUGAGUGACAUUUAUAUAUGCAUGUGAUUGGACUUACUAUGCAAUUUGUGACCUUUAUCCUUUAGGUCUUUAAGAUUAUGAUUGUCUAUCAGUUUAAUAUUAUCUGGUUACUGACUGUUAUGAUUUUUUUUUGCCAUGUUAAGGUUCUCGAUUGUUUACUCAAGUUCCAUUGAUAUUAUUGUGCCUUUUCUUCCAUACAGGUUUCUUGCAUAAGUGUUUGUUGGUACUAGGUUGAUGUAUCUCAUGUCAAUAUGAUAUAUUCUAUGAUCAGAAUAGUGAUUUUUUGCUCGACA